GAUGAACGCUAGCGGGAGGCCUAACACAUGCAAGCCGAGCGGUAUUUGUUCUUCGGAACAGAGAGAGCGGCGCACGGGUGCGGAACACGUGUGCAACCUGCCUUUAUCUGGGGGAUAGCCUUUCGAAAGGAAGAUUAAUACCCCAUAAUAUAUUGAGUGGCAUCAUUUGAUAUUGAAAACUCCGGUGGAUAGAGAUGGGCACGCGCAAGAUUAGAUAGUUGGUGAGGUAACGGCUCACCAAGUCAAUGAUCUUUAGGGGGCCUGAGAGGGUGAUCCCCCACACUGGUACUGAGACACGGACCAGACUCCUACGGGAGGCAGCAGUGAGGAAUAUUGGACAAUGGGUUAGCGCCUGAUCCAGCCAUCCCACGUGAAGGACGACGGCCCUAUGGGUUGUAAACUUCUUUUGUAUAGGGAUAAACCUACUCUCGUGAGAGUAGCUGAAGGUACUAUACGAAUAAGCACCGGCUAACUCCGUG
rnacentral:rRNA from 1 species